AGUGAACGCUGGCGGCGUGCUUAACACAUGCAAGUCGAGCGAAUUUCAGCAGCGUAUCGCUGAAGUUAGCGGCAGACGGGUGAGUAAUACUUGGGCAAUCUGCCCUUGAGAGGGAAACAACCUGCCGAAAGGCGGGCUAAUGUCCCAUAAGACCACAGGAUGGCAUCAUCCAGAGGUCAAAGCUCCGCAAGGGGCGCUUGAGGAGGAGCCCGAGUCCUAUCAGCUAGUUGGUGAGGUAAUGGCUCACCAAGGCUUUGACGGGUAGCCGGCCUGAAAGGGUGACCGGCCACACUGGCACUGAGACACGGGCCAGACUCCUACGGGAGGCAGCAGUGGGGAAUUUUGGACAAUGGGGCAACCCUGAUCCAGCGACGCCGCGUGGAGGACGAAGGUCUUCGGA
rnacentral:rRNA from 1 species